CAAUAGCGUAUAUUAAAGUUGUUACAGUUAAAAAGCUCGUAGUUGGAUUUCGGGGUGGCCUGGCUGGUCCGCCGCAAGGUGAGUACUGGUCAGCCGCCCUUCCUCUCGAAAGCCCCGACUGCUCUUUACUGCAGUGGUCGGGUAGUUCGGGACGUUUACUUUGAAAAAAUUAGAGUGUUCAAGGCAGGCUAUCGCCUGAAUACAUUAGCAUGGAAUAAUGGAAGAGGACCUCGGUCCUAUUUUGUUGGUUUCUAGGGCCGAAGUAAUGAUUAAGAGGGACAGUUGGGGGCAUUCGUAUUUAAUUGUCAGAGGUGAAAUUCUUGGAUUUAUGAAAGACGAACUAGUGCGAAAGCAUUUGCCAAGGAUGUUUUCAUUAA
rnacentral:rRNA from 1 species